AACGCGAAGAACCUUACCAGGUCUUGACAUCCCGUUGACCACUGUAGAGAUAUGGUUUCCCCUUCGGGGGCAACGGUGACAGGUGGUGCAUGGUUGUCGUCAGCUCGUGUCGUGAGAUGUUGGGUUAAGUCCCGCAACGAGCGCAACCCUUGAUCUUAGUUGCCAUCAUUUAGUUGGGCACUCUAAGGUGACUGCCGGUGACAAACCGGAGGAAGGUGGGGAUGACGUCAAAUCAUCAUGCCCCUUAUGACCUGGGCUACACACGUGCUACAAUGGACGAUACAAACGGUUGCCAACUCGCGAGAGGGAGCUAAUCCGAUAAAGUCGUUCUCAGUUCGGAUUGUAGGCUGCAACUCGCCUACAUGAAGCCGGAAUCGCUAGUAAUCGCGGAUCAGCAUGCCGCGGUGAAUACGUUCCCGGGCCUUGUACACACCG
rnacentral:rRNA from 1 species